UUCACUUCAAUGGGCACAAUGGAGGAAUACUUUGAAGUGUUGUACGAGGUUCAGGGGCUGAUGGUGCCGGGUGAGGGAGGGAGUCGUUGUCCGAAUUGCCGUGAUGACGGAGUGUUAAGCACAUCAACACGGAGAAAAAUACGAAGGAUCCGGUGUCUUACCUAGUACGGAACAACUAGUGCGAACCGGGAUACUAACCACGCCUGUAACAGCGGAACCUGCAGUGCUGUUCCACCGUCGUUUCCAUGUGAUGAGCCUAACUUCUGAACCUGUGUUUUGACUGUUUCACGCGUGAUACAUGAUUGGCGUCCUUCCCCAACGAGCAGCGAGUUUUGAAAACAGUGUACAGUAGGCCCGCUCCAAAGUCCUACGGUGAUUACUCGGUUCAACUGUGUUGAGCUCCCGCGUCACGGAGGGACGUUGAAUGAGAGCGGCUGUCAAGACCAAUUGUCGUGUCGACCCAAUUUUUCCCGUGACUGUAGUUCCGUGGGGCAAUGAUCCUUAUCCGCUUGAAAUUCAUCAAAAGUGUUUAUACCUGUCGGUCGAUGAACGAUAGUACGAGGGAGCGAUGCCUUCCAGUAAAGAAGGGUUCAGUAAUGACAGACCUAUAGAUCAGGAUCCUUUAGUUACGUUUUACAUGUACAAGUUUCACAUUUUAUUUUUACACUGCGAUACAAGCUUUCUAGAACUUUGAGGUAGAGGGUAAACACGUAAAUUAUGCAAUUGUUGGGCACGAUCGGUCGAUCUUUCCUCCAUGAACCCCACUAUCUCGACGGUGCUAUUGGCCGAUCAUGUAGGAAAUUUCAGAUUUGAUUUCCUGUGUUCGAGACAGUACUCCACAACCGUGUAUUAGAAAGAAAAGGUGAUCCGCUGAUGAAAGCUCGCCAUAAGACCGGUCAGUUGCCCAAAGAUCAAGACUUAGUGAUUGCAAAGAUCUCGAUCGCACCCAUCUCCAAUACGGUAGUCAUUUUUGCAUCAUCUUCCCGUGGGUGGACUUGCUUGGACCAUUGAGCUAUUAAACACAUAUAAGCUCCAUGCUUGGACUCAGCAAUUUCGACUCAUCUCGCUGAUGAAAAUCGAGUCAGACUUGUCUGACUCAAGCUUUUUAUGGACUCGGCUUAGCGCCAACUAGAUUGACUAAACUCAAAAACAACACUCUGCCGCACAGCAUUGCUAACGUUGAUUUCAUUUUACACUGAUUUUGAAAAAGCAUAGCCGGUCAACCACUUUUAACUUCCGUCAGUUUUAAGUCAAAAGCGGCAUCAUGCAUGUUUCAACUCCACGCUGAGCUUUUGCUCUGUUCGAUGUCGAUGAAUAGCCGUCGACUUAUGUUUCCCACAACGACUUUUCUUGUCGGUGAACCUACAGUACAAAAACCUUGCUUCAAUUUUCUCCGUGAUUUGAUCCUGUCAAGUUUGUCUUCCUUGCAUUUAUCAAAUCGUAGCGCCUGUCCGUCAUCAGCAGCCUAGAAGGUAAACCACGUGCCAUCCCUGGCGCAAUUUGUUAACACUCUUGCCAGGCGGCGUGUGAAGAUUAAUCACGGACUUAUGACUUGUUGGUCCCCCUCCGGAAGGUUGAUCGACACCGUGUCCUAGAUAAGGAGAAGUGUGCCCAACAUCGAUGGCCGCAUUCAACUUCUCAAAAUGGCAACAGCUUCAAAAACUACUUCAGCGAAACGUCUUGGUGGAGUUUGUCAACCUUACCCACUGUAGUCCUUCCUACAUGCCUCUGUUGGCGUUACUUACCAUAAUUUGAGCCCAGGAAACGGUUCACCGCAGCUGGGCAGCCUAAUUCCGCUCAGUGCAUCGUUUUGGUGACAGUUAUAGCUCAUCUCUCAUAGCUAAUCACUCAUUGCAAUGGUUAAAACUGAUGAGUUCAGGUUGGCAAAAUCAUACAACAAAAGACUCAUUGCGACGUUGCCGCAUUCUCGGACAAUGCCCUGGUAUACUGCGGUAUGACUACGGUUCGAUCUGACCAUUUUCUUGUUUUAGUUUUUGCAAUGAUCUUUGGUCAUUUAGCUUCGAGCGUGAUGACAGAAAAGAAUGUCACCCGUCGAGCUACAUUGUAUGGUGUUCUGUAUCUGCCAUUUCGCAUUUCUCAUCUCCCCAGUUUAUCCUGCCAUUCCCGCGUAUUGAGUGAAUAAGAUUGGUCAAAAUUAGUUUCCUCAUAUCCUCACAUCCAUUGUCUCGGAUCAAAAUCUAUAUGUCGAUGACUGAUGUUCUGAAGAGCAUGUCGUGAUAUUGGGUCGGUGUGGGUACCAGCAUUUUUCCUUCCUAAUGUGACCGUUGUUCCACUACAGUCGAGUAUGGACUGUCGUAUCCAGUGAUGUCCUAUCUAAUGACAGGUCUUUCACUGAGUCUUGCCAACUCUAGGUUAAGGCUGCGUCAGUUCGAAUACAUGAAAAUUGGAAUAUUUGACCUGAAAAAUGUACUUUUCGAACUUUCGGUUGAACGGCAAAUCUUCGGUCAGCCAAGUGUCAGAAGAACUUCAAGUUGAAGAAGCCAUUUUUAAACGAAAUAAAAUCAUCUUGGGAUUACUUA
rnacentral:lncRNA from 1 species